UGGCGGACGGGUGAGUAAUGUCUGGGAAACUGCCCGAUGGAGGGGGAUAACUACUGGAAACGGUAGCUAAUACCGCAUAACGUCGCAAGACCAAAGAGGGGACCGUUCGGGCCUCUUGCCAUCGGAUGUACCCAGAUGGGAUUAGCUAGUAGGUGGGGUAACGGCUCACCUAGGCGACGAUCCCUAGCUGGUCUGAGAGGAUGACCAGCCACACUGGAACUGAGACACGGUCCAG
rnacentral:rRNA from 1 species